UUGCCUGCCACCUGAUGCAAAAGCAGUGUACAAAGAUGCAACAGGGACAGAAGUUGAUGAAGUGAUUUUCAGUGACCUUAUCAGCCAAGGCACUGUGGUCCUAACAGUUUUCUCAAGUGAUGGUGAGAAAUUUAAAGGGGCAAACUCAACACCAGACAUGGGGAAGGGCUGUGUGGCUGCUGGUUGUUCCAAAUAAUCAGGAGCACACAAUUUGACCAAUCAGCUGUUUGAACAUUGAGAUCAGUUAAUUUAAAUGAGUCAGGUCUGCAGUGUGAUGUUGCUUUGUUAGUUAAAAAUCUGCAGCCAGAUUUUUUUUUUCCCUACACCUUACAGAAUAAUGUUGUUUUUUCCUUUUAGAAUUUUCUGAUUGCUCCUUGUCUUCUGCAUCUGAUUGUUCUGACUCAAGCUUCAGCUCAAAUGCAAGUACAUCAACUAUACUUCUACAUGAGGGUCCCAGGAAGAAAACAAGAGUUGAGGGUACUGUUGAUGCAGCAUCUGCUAAAAAGUUAAUUGAAGGUGUACUUGGAACCAAUUCAGGUGGUGAAGAGGUUCUCCAGGAAUAUCACACAACACAAACUCUAACAGAUGCUACCAGAAGAAAAAUGGUCAAUAUAAUAGCGGCUCACAUGAUUGAUUGCCAUGGGCACCUCCCCGCCAAAGCUGUUAGAGAACAGUACGCGCUAGGGAUAGUGACAUUGUUCCCAUCCCUGAAAGACCCAUACUCCAAGAAAGGCUAUGAACACUUCUAUGAUGCUGCAAGCAGCACUGGAUACAUUUCUUGGCGUUUGAAAACGAUACAGAGAAAGACUAGAAGAGGAUCUGCACCACCAAGUAGCUCCACUGGCUUUGCUCAAGAAGGAGGGGGCCCAAAUUCCCAGAGGCCCAUUAAUAUCGACAUGCAGCUUGAUGGAGAUGCUUGCCAGGAGGCCAUCUCUUUGCUGAACCAUACAUCUGACACUUCCUUGAUUUUCCAAAAGAUGAGAGAGACCUUUCAGCAUCGUCAGAAGCUCAUCAAUGAUCCUGACAAAAGUCUUGAUAUC
ensembl:lncRNA